AUUGAACGCUGGCGGCAGGCUUAACACAUGCAAGUCGAGCGGGGGAAGGUAGCUUGCUACCGGACCUAGCGGCGGACGGGUGAGUAAUGCUUAGGAAUCUGCCUAUUAGUGGGGGACAACAUCUCGAAAGGGAUGCUAAUACCGCAUACGUCCUACGGGAGAAAGCAGGGGAUCUUCGGACCUUGCGCUAAUAGAUGAGCCUAAGUCGGAUUAGCUAGUUGGUGGGGUAAAGGCCUACCAAGGCGACGAGCUGUAGCGGGUCGGAGAGGAUGAUCCGCCACAAUGGGACGGAGACACGGCCCAGACUCCUACGGGAGGCUGCAGUGGGGAAUAUUGGACAAUGGGGGGAACCCUGAUCCAGCCAUGCCGCGUGUGUGAAGAAGGCCUUAUGGUUGUAAAGCACUUUAAGCGAGGAGGAGGCUACUCUAGUUAAUACCUAGGGAUAGUGGACGUUACUCGCAGAAUAAGCACCGGCUAACUCUGUGCCAGCAGCCGCGGUAA
rnacentral:rRNA from 1 species